GAUGAACGCUGGCGGCGUGCCUAAUACAUGCAAGUCGAGCGAACGCACGAGAAUCUUGCUCCUCUGAUGUUAGCGGCGGACGGGUGAGUAACUCGUGGAUAACCUACCUAUAAGACUGGGAUAACUACGGGAAACCGGAGCUAAUACCGGAUGAUAUUUUUAACUGCAUGGUUCAAAAGUGAAAGAAGGUCUUGCUGUCACUUAUAGAUGGAUCCGCGCUGCAUUAGCUAGUUGGGAAGGUAACGGCUUACCAAGGCAACGAUGCAUAGCCGACCUGAGAGGGGGAUCGGCCACACGGGAACGGAGACACGGUCCAGACUCCUACGGGAGGCAGCAGUAGGGAAUCUUCCGCAAGGGGCGAAAGCCUGACGGAGCAACGCCGCGUGAGUGAUGAAGGUCUUCGGAUCGUAAAACUCUGUUAUUAGGGAAGAACAUAUGUGUAAGUAACUGUGCACAUCUUGACGGUACCUAAUCAGAAAGCCACGGCUAACUACGUG
rnacentral:rRNA from 1 species